rnacentral:rRNA from 1 species
UACGAAGGGGGCUAGCGUUGCUCGGAAUCACUGGGCGUAAAGCGCACGUAGGCGGGGCUUUAAGUCAGGGGUGAAAUCCCGGAGCUCAACUCCGGAACUGCCUUUGAUACUGGAGAUCUUGAGUCCGGGAGAGGUGAGUGGAACUCCGAGUGUAGAGGUGAAAUUCGUAGAUAUUCGGAAGAACACCAGUGGCGAAGGCGGCUCACUGGCCCGGUACUGACGCUGAGGUGCGAAAGCGUGGGGAGCAAACAGG